rnacentral:rRNA from 1 species
CCUACGGGAGGCAGCAGUGGGGAAUCUUAGACAAUGGGGGAAACCCUGAUCUAGCCAUGCCGCGUGAGCGAUGAAGGCCUUAGGGUUGUAAAGCUCUUUCAGUGGGGAAGAUAAUGACGGUACCCACAGAAGAAGCCCCGGCUAACUCCGUGCCAGCAGCCGCGGUAAUACGGAGGGGGCUAGCGUUGUUCGGAAUUACUGGGCGUAAAGCGCACGUAGGCGGAUCAGAAAGUCAGAGGUGAAAUCCCAGGGCUCAACCUUGGAACUGCCUUUGAAACUCCUGAUCUUGAGGUCGAGAGAGGUGAGUGGAAUUCCGAGUGUAGAGGUGAAAUUCGUAGAUAUUCGGAGGAACACCAGUGGCGAAGGCGGCUCACUGGCUCGAUACUGACGCUGAGGUGCGAAAGCGUGGGGAGCGAAACAGGAUUAGAUACCCUGGUAGUCCACGCCCUAAACGAUGAAUGCCAGACGUCGGGCAGCAUGCUGUUCGGUUGUCGACCACCUAACCGGUAACGUUAAGUACUAUUCCGUCCGUCGGGGUAGGGUACGGGCCGGCCGAACGGUUAAAACCGUUAACGAAAACGGUAAAGUUAGUACGGCGUGAGACGUCGCCGAACGGACGACCGACCGAGGGAGUAGG